rnacentral:rRNA from 1 species
GCACAACGCGAAGAACCUUACCAACCCUUGACAUGUGUAUCGCGGUUCCAGAGAUGGAUCCUUCAGUUCGGCUGGAUACAACACAGGUGCUGCAUGGCUGUCGUCAGCUCGUGUCGUGAGAUGUUCGGUUAAGUCCGGCAACGAGCGCAACCCACACUCUUAGUUGCCAGCAUUCAGUUGGGCACUCUAGGAGAACUGCCGAUGAUAAGUCGGAGGAAGGUGUGGAUGACGUCAAGUCCUCAUGGCCCUUACGGGUUGGGCUACACACGUGCUACAAUGGUAGUGACAAUGGGUUAAUCCCAAAAAGCUAUCUCAGUUCGGAUUGGGGUCUGCAACUCGACCCCAUGAAGUCGGAAUCGCUAGUAAUCGCGUAACAGCAUGACGCGGUGAAUACGUUCCCGGGUCUUGUACACACCG